GUGCUAGUAGCUUAAUUAGGUAGAGCAAAGGAUUGUGGUUCCUUAAGUUGUGGGUUCAAAUCCCAUCUAGCACC
rnacentral:tRNA from 1 species